CUCACCAGAGCAGCGCACAGCAGGCCCCCGCGGAGGAUCAACGCAGUGGCUGAACACCGGGAAGGAACUGGCACUUUAAGUCUGGACAUCUGAAACUUGUUGCAGGUGUUGUGUCUUGGAUCCAUCACAGUCAGCUAACACUGGCAGCUCAGGACAAGUGGACCAGCCAGCAGGAUGCAGAUCACCCAACCUGGCUGAUCCUGAGACGAGACCAAGCUGCUGCUGAGGACGACAGCCCUGCUCUGGUCACUCCGGAGGCUGACCAGUCUACGCACGGCCGAAGCUUGAGGACUCAUCGAGCAAGUAAAUGUAGUUAAAAAUCUUAAGACUAAUAGUUUUCCUGUAAUACUAACUGUUUUCCUAUUGUUCGGUCGCUGUAUUCAACCUUUUUCCCAGGUAAGGACCUCUUUUGUCCUUGCUGGAUACGAAUAUGCUGUACAUUGUUUUGUUGUUGUUAACCCCCAUAACCAUGUUAGAAGAAACACCUAUAUAAGGUGUCCCCACUGUACACAUACUACUUAGGAAACCCAGACCUGUCCAGCCCAGUAACAAUUCUGAGUCUUUCAGUCAUUCUUUAAACAUAUAAACCAGAAGUUACCAGAACCUCCUCCUUUAGCAAAAACAGAAAAAACCUAUUUGCUCAGCUGGCUGAAAACAUUGCUAGCUGCCUAGAUGUUUCUUCAUGUUAUGUUUAUAAAAAGGCUAACAUAAGAGACCAAUGGCCUUGAGAAGCAAAAGAGUUAAUGCCUCAAGAUAACUUUAACUAGCUCUUUCCCCAAACAGAUGCCACAAGUUCAAGCAUCUGGCUCUUAAAACUUCUAUUAUUAAAAAAUACCAUGUUACUCACUAGGAAAAAGCUUUUAAGACACAGUAAAAAGAACUAACCUGCUUAAGGCAUGACAAAGUUGGUACAUGUGCAUAUACAGGUUUAACACAGGUCUGAUCCUAGGUGUUCAUUUAGAACAUAGUUUCCAGCUGUAAGAAAAUUUAAAACCCUCAUUGUAAGUGUAUUACUAGUAAUAGGAACUUGCUUGCUGCUCCCCUGUAUAUUAUAUUUGCUCCUUCAAAUGAUAAAAGGUUUUGUAGCUACCAUGGUUCAGCAGAAAACUUCAACACAAGUAUAUUACAUAAAAUACUAUCACUCUGUCUCACAAAAAGACUCAAAAAGUAAAAAUAAAAGAACUCCCACUGAUUAGUGAAAAUUCUCAAAGGGGGAGAUAAGGAAGGAGACCACUACUACUCCUGCUGCCCUCCUCUCCCCACCUUGCCUAGUUCGCAAGACAGGAGGAGAGAAAAACAAAAAGUUGGAAAAAAAACAAAAGUAAGAUAAACAGCCAGACAACCUUGGCACCACCACCCGGCCUUAGGAGUUAAAAAAAGUAAUAAUGAUAACCUCAACCCCUGACCUAAACUACUUGUGUUGUCUGUAAAUUUCAGACACUGUAUGAAAAAAAGCAUUGUAAAACUUUUUGUUCUGUUAGCUGAUGCAUAUAGCCCCCAGUCAUGUUUCCCAUGCUUGCUUGAUGUACCACGACCCUUACACGUGGACCCCUUAAAGUUGUAAACCUUUAAAAAGGCCAAGAAUUUCUUUUUCGGGGAGCUCGGCUCUUAAGACACGAGUCUGACAAUGCUCCUGGCCGAAUAAAAACCUCUUCCUUCUUUAAUUCAGUGUCUGAG
rnacentral:lncRNA from 1 species